AUUGAACGCUGGCGGCAGGCCUAACACAUGCCAGUCGAGCGGAUGAAGGGAGCUUGCUCCUGGAUUCAGCGGCGGACGGGUGAGUAAUGCCUAGGAAUCUGCCUGGUAGUGGGGGAUAACGUCCGGAAACGGGCGCUAAUACCGCAUACGUCCUGAGGGAGAAAGUGGGGGAUCUUCGGACCCCACGCUAUCAGAUGAGCCUAGGUCGGAUUAGCUAGUUGGUGGGGUAAAGGCCUACCAAGGCGACGAUCCGUAACUGGUCUGAGAGGAUGAUCAGUCACACUGGAACUGAGACACGGUCCAGACUCCUACGGGAGGCAGCUGUGGGGAAUAUUGGACAAUGGGCGAAAGCCUGAUCCAGCCAUGCCGCGUGUGUGAAGAAGGUCUUCGGAUUGUAAAGCACUUUAAGUUGGGAGGAAGGGCAGUAAGUUAAUACCUUGCUGUUUUGACGUUACCAACAGAAUAAGCACCGGCUAACUUCGUG
rnacentral:rRNA from 1 species